GCUUUCUUUGCUGGCGACCGGCGCACGGGUGAGUAACACGUAUCCAACCUACCCUUUACUCGGGGAUAGCCUUUCGAAAGAAAGAUUAAUACCCGAUAGCAUAAUGAUUCCGCAUGGUUUCAUUAUUAAAGGAUUCCGGUAAAGGAUGGGGAUGCGUUCCAUUAGGUUGUUGGUGAGGUAACGGCUCACCAAGCCUUCGAUGGAUAGGGGUUCUGAGAGGAAGGUCCCCCACAUUGGAACUGAGACACGGUCCAAACUCCUACGGGAGGCAGCAUG
rnacentral:rRNA from 1 species